rnacentral:rRNA from 1 species
CAUGCAAGUCGAGGGGUAUUAGUUUUCGGACUAAGAGACCGGCGCACGGGUGCGUCACGCGUAUGCAAUCUACCUUUUACAGGGGAAUAGCCCAGAGAAAUUUGGAUUAAUGCCCCAUAGUAUAUAUCAUUCGCAUGUUUGAUAUAUUAAAGUUCCAACGGUAAAAGAUGAGCAUGCGUCCCAUUAGUUAGUUGGUAAGGUAACGGCUUACCAAGACGAUGAUGGGUAGGGGUCCUGAGAGGGAGAUCCCCCACACUGGUACUGAGACACGGACCAGACUCCUACGGGAGGCAGCAGUGAGGAAUAUUGGACAAUGGGCGCAAGCCUGAUCCAGCCAUGCCGCGUGCAGGAAGACGGUCCUAUGGAUUGUAAACUGCUUUUGUACGGGAAGAAACACUCCUACGUGUAGGAGCUUGACGGUACCGUAAGAAUAAGGAUCGGCUAACUCCGUGCCAGCAGCCGCGGUAAUACGGAGGAUCCAAGCGUUAUCCGGAAUCAUUGGGUUUAAAGGGUCCGUAGGCGGUUUAGUAAGUCAGUGGUGAAAGCCCAUCGCUCAACGAUGGAACGGCCAUUGAUACUGCUAGACUUGAAUUAUUAGGAAGUAACUAGAAUAUGUAGUGUAGCGGUGAAAUGCUUAGAUAUUACAUGGAAUACCAAUUGCGAAGGCAGGUUACUACUAAUGGAUUGACGCUGAUGGACGAAAGCGUGGGGGAGCGAACAGGAUUAGAUACCCUGGUAGUCCACGCCGUAAACGAUGGAUACUAGCUGUUGGGGGCAACUUCAGUGGCUAAGCGAAAGUGAUAAGUAUCCCACCUGGGGGAGUACGUUUCGCAAGAAAUGAAACUCAAAGGAAUUGACGGGGGCCCGCACAAGCGGUGGAGCAUGUGGUUUAAUUCGAUUGAUUCCGAGGGACCUACCAAGGCUUAAAUGUAAAAUGACAGGACUGGAAACAGUUUUUUCUUCGGACAAUUUACAAGGUGCU